rnacentral:rRNA from 1 species
CCUACGGGAGGCAGCAGUGAGGAAUAUUGGUCAAUGGACGAGAGUCUGAACCAGCCAAGUAGCGUGAAGGAUGACUGCCCUAUGGGUUGUAAACUUCUUUUAUAUGGGAAUAAACUGUUCCACGUGUGGGAUUUUGUAUGUACCAUAUGAAUAAGGAUCGGCUAACUCCAUGCCAGCAGCCGCGGUAAUACGGAGGAUCCGAGCGUUAUCCGGAUUUAUUGGGUUUAAAGGGAGCGUAGGUGGAUUGUUAAGUCAGUUGUGAAAGUUUGCGGCUCAACCGUAAAAUUGCAGUUGAAACUGGCAGUCUUGAGUACAGUAGAGGUGUGCGGAAUUCGUGGUGUAGCGGUGAAAUGCUUAGAUAUCACGAAGAACUCCGAUUGCGAAGGCAGUUCACUGGACUGCAACUGACUCUGAGGCUCGAAAGUGUGGGUAUCAAACAGGAUUAGAUACCCGAGUAGUC